GAAGAGAAGAGAAGAGAAGAGAAGAGAAGAGAAGAGAAGAGAAGAGAGAGAAGAGAAGAGAAAAGUCCAAGUGAAAAAUAUCAUGAUGAGUUUUCUCCAGGCUGUUUAUGUGGUGGUUUAUAUUUAUUGAUGUAUGUAUGUUGAACCACUCCUGCAUCUGUGGGAUGAAGCCAACUUGACUGUGUUACAGCCUAUAAAGUUUUUAUCAAGGUCAAACCUAAAUUCAGAAACCAUCUGUAACUCAAUCCUCCCCUUGGCGUUUGCAUCUCCCUAUUGAUACUGCAGGCCAAUCUGACAGCCAGAAGGAAAGUGCCUCUAAGUGUAUUUUGGAGAGAAGUAUAUUCAGGAGGUAGGUUUGAUCUCUCAUUACCUCUAAAGCUCUAGAUAAGGACUCACAAUCCCAGUAACACCACUCUUCCUUUAAAUAUACCAACCUAUAAAAUAAAACUGCCUUUUCUCCAUAAA